AUUCAAUCUUGAGAGGCCUAUAGGUCUGAACUCCAUUUCAGAUUUACCCAUCCUGCAACUGAAUAACAAACUAAAAGUCAAUGAGACAGCAAUUAGGCUUUCAAUCACUGGGAGUUCAGAUUGCAAAAAUGGAACUUUUUUGCACAGAUGUUGAAACCGAAUUAAUGCUGGUAUACCACGUCGCCUUUCUACAACCGGCACGAUGACCAGCAUUACUUUGAUAGACUAAGUCGUUUACGAAGUUAAAAAAAAACCACUUCGGCGAAAGUACCAACGAUCACCAGUCAAAAACAGAAACGACGACGACUCACGAAUUAAUCCAAUUUAUCAUGGCACUGAUGUCGGUCUUUGAGGAACGACAACCGGUAGCAGCAACAGCGGCCCGAUCCUUAAAAGUGUUCUCCAGGUCAACUGCAACUGCCGUCAACUUAUUUGCCCGCUAAGUGCCGCCGAUUAUUUGUUUGGCCGUUUGCAUCGCAUCGGACUUGAACAUCACCGCAAUGGACCGAAACAAGGGUACUUUUUUUCUUGCCGAAGAUAUCCUACCGGGAAAUAAAGAGUGUUUUAUCAGAGUGGUCCUAGUUCGUUUCCAGUCAAUCUAGUUGAACAAAUUGCGUUGCAACCGACAACUUGUGGUUAUUCCGUGGAAGUGGUUAUUCUGAUUUGGAAUUCGAUAAAGUGCCGUCGAGUUUGAUCGAAUCAUUCGUUUCGGCUGAAGAAGAUCUCGGUUCCUGAUCUCGGAUGACCUGGAUCAGCUCGCGUAUUUCGUCCAGGAGCUACACGCCUGCCUGAACAGGCUAUAAAAUUGCAUCCUUCAAGCGAGCCUUCAAGUUGCUCUGCCGAACUUCUAGUCUGUCUGUCUAGCAAAUAAUGUUUGUUCAUUCAGUUACUCCGCUGCCAUUGCCACAUCAUAGCAACCCAAACAAGUGGCUAUGGACGGAGAAUUCGGUUGUCAAAUUUAGUGUAAGUUCAGCACCAUACCACUUCCUAUAUUGCCCUUCAAUGCGUUAUUUAAAGUUGAAUUCACAGUGCGAUCAGAAAUUCUUUCAGCAAACCACAGAUUUCUUUAAUCAUCAGCAUUCAAAACCAAAAAGAAUCAUUCCAGAUUUUUUUUUAAAUUAAAAAUAAAAGAGGCAUUGUACGAAACCAGUUUGACAAUAGGUGGAAGCUGUAAUAGCUCUUUCUCACUGGAAUUGAAAUGAAAUACGGUGGUUUGUAUACGGCAGAACCCACAAUUAAUCAGCGAAACGGAAAUAUUUAACCAGAAAGUACUCCACAGACCACAUCCUUUGAAGGCUAUCGAUUGCCAAUGGGAUACAUCUAAGGAGUGUGCACACGUAUUAAAGGAUCACGUUGCCGUUUCAGUUAGACACUUCGACAAUUGCACCAGUACGCCCUCCUAAUACUGAACACUGAAGCACCAAAAUUAAAUUUUUUCGAUUAUUUCUUUACGAUUGUAGAAUGGAGAAAAUGAUUAAAGUAUUGAUUUCGGUAUUCGUCGUAGCAGUCUUACUUGAAACAACAUUGGCCUGUGAGUGCGAUUACAAACGCGUUUACGAGGGUCACAACGGUAACAAGGUCAGCGGCUGCUAUAUGGUGAGGCCAGCAAGUCAAGGCACGGCUUGUCAGUGCCGUUAUGUCGGAUAUGCCUUCAUAUGCAAAGGUCAUCAAGUUGGUUGCCAGAACCCCAAUCACUAUCUGUGUCGUUAUCCCGAUACGUCAAAAGAGGCAUGCAUUUUCGCCAAUGGAGACUGCGAUGGUUAUUAAUCCACCUUAUAAUCCGACUAAUUUCCGAGCGUUGUGAUCAUUCCGAAUUUUUAUUACCACAUUAAUCAACUUAUCCACACACACUGAUUAGAAAAUAGAUACUCUCAGCAGUCAAAUUUUUCAUUUGGUCAUAAUCUUUCUGUCCCAAUAUACAACAAACAUUAGUUCACUUUCCCAGUUAGUUAUUUGAGUUACAGCUGUUACUAUUGACGUCAAUAUUGUGUUUAACAUUUAUUAAUAAUAGCUUACACGGUUACACCCGAGCGCGAUAGAUUGAUAACGCCACUCGACAGAGAAUAGCAGAGUUUUGACUAGUGAGUACAACUUAUGCUUAGUAAUCUGUAAAUAACAUGUUGAAAAAUGGAAUUAUUUUUUCGGAAUUUUGAGGAAUACAGAGUAGACUUUUAUAAAUAUUAAUUAUGCACUCUGUAAUCCUCUCAUAUUGUUACAUAUCAAAUUGAGGUUGAAUUUAGUUCGUAAAAACCGGCAAAAACAACGAAACUAGAAACACAGAGGGAAAUAUAACUCGACAUAUAACAAAGCAAAUUUAUAACAAAGACAACUAUUUGAGCCAAGCAAAAUAUUUUAAAAAUUCGUUCGAAACUUGUAAAGUUGUUAGACUGAAGUCCUGGAUUCAAAACUCAUUACUAGAUGUCGCCAGUGUUGCCUUUGUUGUUGUUACGUCGUGAAACGAGGCCAAAAGGGCGAAACAAAUUGUAGCUAAAUUAUACUUAUCUUCCUGUGAUUUCAUAUACCAAAUUGAACUUCGAAUCUUGUAUGCAUACUGUCAGUCAUUCCAACAAGUUGACUUAGCGCUCAGUCACUUUCCAUCCAUUAUAGGCCCAUCAGGCUGUCAAAAGCCUAAAACUCAUUGUUGGAGCACACAUGUAGUGAAUACAAUUGUGCCGAGAUAAGUUAUUUCCCCGUGACUGCUACCAGACCAUAACAAUUUAGAUUUUCUUAUAACAUAGGUAUCCUUGCCCAUGAACCAUAGGAUCUUUUCUGAAUCUCGCAAUUGUGGUGGUGUACCCUGCAACAGCAUGUUUGUGGUUAUGGAUGUGUUUACUCUGUUCAGAAGGCAACCCAGCUAAGAGAUAGUUUCAGAGACAUGAAGUGUGUGAAGUGAAUAACCUGUCAUGUGUAGGCACAUGUACCAGAUCUGCUUGAUGAAAGUCAAAUGCCUUACUAAAUUCAUCACCCAAAUGACAAAGCAUUAGGAAAUUUAUCUCAACAUGCGGA
rnacentral:lncRNA from 1 species